GAUGAACGCUGGCGGCGUGCCUAAUACAUGCAAGUCGAGCGAACAGACGAGGAGCUUGCUCCUUUGACGUUAGCGGCGGACGGGUGAGUAACACGUAGGUAACCUACCUAUAAUACUGGGAUAACUUCGGGAAACCGGAGCUAAUACCGGAUAAUAUUUCGAACCGCAUGGUUCGAUAGUGAAAGAUGGCUUUGCUAUCACUUAUAGAUGGACCUGCGCCGUAUUAGCUAGUUGGUAAGGUAACGGCUUACCAAGGCAACGAUACGUAGCCGACCUGAGAGGGUGAUCGGCCACACUGGAACUGAGACACGGUCCAGACUCCUACGGGAGGCAGCAGUAGGGAAUCUUCCGCAAUGGGCGAAAGCCUGACGGAGCAACGCCGCGUGAGUGAUGAAGGUCUUCGGAUCGUAAAACUCUGUUAUUAGGGAAGAACAAAAGUGUAAGUAACUGUGCACGUCUUGACGGUACCUAAUCAGAAAGCCACGGCUAACUACGUG
rnacentral:rRNA from 1 species